rnacentral:lncRNA from 1 species
AUGUUUCAUUACAUAAUCCGUGUUCCACCGAGUCACCCACAGAGUCACGGGGGCGCAGGCUGUCCCACACCCCACACACUGCCCUUAGGGAGAUCGGCUCACCGGGGACCCUGGGAGCAGCGCGCUCCCCUCUCCUCUGGGUCCGGCGGUCCCAACUCGGCCGAGACUGCGACCCUGACCCGAGCUCCCUCGCCUCUCCCACGCAGGGCCGGGCCGCGCGUCCACUCGCACGCUCAGAAGCCCUCCUCGGGGUCCCCUCACCGUCCCAAGCCCCCUGGAGGUCCCCCAUCAUACCCGCUGUCCCGGCCCCUCUCAGUCCCUUCUCCAGACUCGCUGUCCUAUCCCCUCUCCGGGACCACCACUCAGCCCUGCUGUCCCGGCCACUCUCAGGGACCCCUCCCUCAGCCCUGUUGCCCUAGCCCCUCUCGGGACCACCCCCCAAAACCGCUGUCCCGGCCACUCUCGGGACCACCCUUAGAUCCGCUGUCCCGGCCCCUGCUGGGGUUCCCUCUCUUCAGACUCGCUGUCCCAGCCCGUCUCGGGGUCCCCCGUCAGACCCGCUCUCCUGGCCUCUCUCGGGUCCCCCUCAGACCCGCCGUCCCGACCCCUCUCCGGGUCUCCACUCCACAGUCGGGACUGUCAGACCCGCUCCCGGAACUCCCCUCACUCGGGUCCUCGCCGACCUCACUCUGCCCAGGGUCCCCUCGCCUGGGCUCACACUGUCACUGCCCCGCGCCCCGGUGCUCUCACCUCAGACCUGCUGUCACCACCCCCGGGCCCGGCGUCGCCGCCGCCGCUUCCUCUCCCACACUUGUUCCCGAGUCGCUCUUCUGCCGCUUGUCCCCCAGAGGAUCCCCGGGUCCGGUCGCUGAGGGCCCAGUGCGGCCGCGGGGAGCCUCCGCCCGCGGUCUCCGCGUCGGGUCCCACUCUCUCGCGCAGGAUCCCGCCGCCGGGCGCCACACGGACCCUCCCGCGGCCGCCGCUGCUGCUGUCCGAGGUGCGGCUCCUGCCAGGGGUGGCCAAUCGCACCCGACUGCGCCGAGCGCGCUCCGCCCCGCCGUCUCAGGCGCCCGCCCCCUGCCCCCGACCACGCCCCCAGCUCGGCUCCGAUAG